GUAAUUUUUUGCUGACUGUAUUAUAUUGCACAGUAUUAUAGUUUUAUGUUCUCUUAUACAGUACAGCACUGCAUGUAAGAUUUAUGAAAAUAAAAGAAAAGUCAUCAAGUUGGAGUUUCAUUUGACCAUUUCUUUGUUCUAAAUAUUGUAAUGUACCUAUUAUAUACACUUCCUCAUUCACCAGGGAAAUGGAACGUAGCUCUGUCAUUAAACAAGCAAUGUCUGUCCUAGUCUUUCUCUUGGUGACACAUUCCACCUUUCAGCUUCUAGGAGAUGAAUCUGUUUUGUAUGGAUCUUGCAAAUACCAGGGUCUUCGGCAUGACUAAGCCCCUUGCCGAUCCAAGACAAGGCUGAGCACCUAGACAAGCCUACAGAUGAAUAUUUGGAGGCUUUGUGUCCCAUGGAAUGGAGCUAAGCAUCUCUGUGGGAUUGCACACAGUAGCAAGGGCUGACCAGCAUUUUAGAAGAAGGGUGGAGCCAUUUGUCUAAAUCCUGGUCUUUAUCAUCUGACCACAGAUCAGGUCAGGUGAUAAAGGCUGGUGACCCUCCUGGACCAAUCUCUUGGAAAGGUAAGAGCUUGUAGACUUGCAGUGAAUGACAGCCUGUAGCUUCUCAGGACUUCCUGCCUCUACCUCAUCUCUGUAAAACCAGUGCCCCUUGACAGAGAACGAAUGUCUUCCAUGCCUAGUACAUUGGGGAUAGUUGAUUUCGGGGGGAAAUUAUAUAGAGCCACAUUUAUGUUAUAUAGUGGGAAAUUAUUUCCAGCAGUAUCUUUUUGUCCAGCCAUCUGCUUGAAUCAAGUUUCUGUCAGCCUGUGGAAGUAGUAAUUAUUCUCUGCUGUGAACCUGGGCUCCAUGCUGGCUUUCAGCUGAGGGAGUGGACCCUUUGGUUGUUUGUUGUCUAUUGUUAGGAGGUUUUUUGUCACUCAGUAUUGUCAACAGCUGCUUUUCCAGUGGACAUUUUAUCUUUGAGGCUAUAAAUAAUCCCUCCAAACCCAAGUCCCUCUUUAUGAAAGACAAAAUACAUCAGUCAAUCAGGAUAUGAUUUUAUUCAGGCUGUUAUAGUAAAAGAACAUUCCUUAAUGAGGAAUAUGUCAAAGAAAAAGAAAGAAGACUGGGCUUUUGGAGGCAGAGAAGCAAGAAAGUCAUCCGAGAGUCUUAAGGGAUACUCAAGGAAAGAUGGAGGUAGGUCUUAUUUCAUAAUAUGCAAGAGCUGGGUAGUCCUUUGCAUUUAGCUAGUUCCUACAACCAAAAAGGGAAAAACAUUUCUUAGUCCUACUUUCCCAGAGUACAGGCCUUAAGUAAAGUUAACAUUGUCAGUCCUCCAGGUGAAUGUCAUCCUCACUGAACAACUCAGAGGUGAUUGUGUACCUCCUGAGGCCACAUUACAUGGGCAGAGUAACUAAGGAUCUGUACGUGAG
rnacentral:lncRNA from 1 species